CGACGCGCUGUACGAGACCGCGGACGCGGAGAGACUGCGCGACGCCCCGGACAGCGAGAGCUCAACAGCAGUUAGCCCGGUGGGCGAGUGAAGAGGCGGUGCCGGUGGAGCGCGACUACUUCCCCUCGCCGACCUCCCCGCCCUCGCCGCGCUCCCCGCGCUCGCCCGCCAGCUCCGGCAGCGAGCGCCCGGCCGCCUUCCCCGAG
rnacentral:misc_RNA from 1 species